AAAGAACUAAUUAAUUAAUAAAGUUAUUGUGGCAAAACUAUUUUAAAUAAUUAAUUUGAAAUGAAAUGUUAUUCGUUUUUAAAUAUAUCUAGUUUUUUUAGAAAAAAAUUUAAUUUUAAAUUUUUAAUAAAAAAAAUUAAUUAAUUAAUUUUUUUUAGGGGAAAAUUUUAUAUUUUAAGGGAUAAGCUUUAAAUUAGAAAUUUAUAAUAAUUAUUGUUAUUUUAUUUGAAAAUUUUAUAAUUUAAAUUGUUAAUAAAAUUUAAUUUAUUAUAAAUAAUUUCAUUUUAAAAAAGAUUUAAUUUUAAUUUAAUUUUUUAUGAAAAAAUAAAUUUUAAUAACAAAAAUUUAAUUAUAAUGAUAAAAUUAGUAUAUUUAUUUUUAAAUUUUAUUUUUUAAUUAAAUUAAUUAAUAAAAAGGAAUUCGGCAAAUAUAUACGUUCACUUGUUUAACAAAAACAUGUCUUUUUGAAGUUAAUUUAAAGUCUAAUCUGCCCACUGAUUUAAUUAUUAAAGGGCUGCAGUAUAUUGACUGUACAAAGGUAGCAUAAUCAUUAGUCAUUUAAUUGAUGACUUGUAUGAAAGAUUGAAUGAAAUGUAAGCUGUCUCUUUAUUAAUUUAUAUAAUUUAAUUUCUUAAUUAAAAAGUUAAGAUAUUUUAAAAAGACGAGAAGACCCUAUAGAGUUUUAUAGAUAAUUUUAUUUAAUAUUAUUUAUAAAUAAAAAGGAAAUAUAAAUAAAUUUAUUUAUUUUGUUGGGGUGACAAAAAAAUAAAAAAAACUUUUUAUAAAUAAAAACAUAAAUAAGUGAAUUUAUGAUCCAAUAUUAUUGAUUAUAAGAAAAAAUUACCUUAGGGAUAACAGCGUAAUUUUUUUUUUUAGUUCAAAUAAGAAAAAGAGUUUGCGACCUCGAUGUUGGAUUAAGAUAAAAUUUAAAUGCAAAAGUUUAAAAUUUUG
rnacentral:rRNA from 1 species